UGGGGAAUAUUGCACAAUGGGCGCAAGCCUGAUGCAGCCAUGCCGCGUGUGUGAAGAAGGCCUUCGGGUUGUAAAGCACUUUCAGCGGGGAGGAAGGCGUUAAGGUUAAUAACCUUGGCGAUUGACGUUACCCGCAGAAGAAGCACCGGCUAACUCCGUGCCAGCAGCCGCGGUAAUACGGAGGGUGCAAGCGUUAAUCGGAAUUACUGGGCGUAAAGCGCACGCAGGCGGUUUGUUAAGUCAGAUGUGAAAUCCCCGGGCUCAACCUGGGAACUGCAUCUGAUACUGGCAAGCUUGAGUCUCGUAGAGGGGGGUAGAAUUCCAGGUGUAGCGGUGAAAUGCGUAGAGAUCUGGAGGAAUACCGGUGGCGAAGGCGGCCCCCUGGACGAAGACUGACGCUCAGGUGCGAAAGCGUGGGAGCAAACAGG
rnacentral:rRNA from 1 species